GGUGAAAAGCACCCCGUAAGGGGAGUGAAAUAGAACAUGAAACCCUGAGCUUACAAGUAGUCAGAGCCCGUUAAUGGGUGAAGGCGUGCCUUUUGUAGAAUGAACCGGCGAGUUACGAUUUGAUGCAAGGUUAAGCAGUAAAUGUGGAGCCGUAGCGAAAGCUAGUCUGAAUAGUGCGUUUAGUAUUUGGUCGUAGACCCGAAACCAGCUGAUCUACCCUUGGUCAGGUUGAAGUUCAGGUAACACAGAAUGGAGGACCGAACCGACUUACGU
rnacentral:rRNA from 1 species